AUUGAACGCUGGCGGCAUGCUUUACACAUGCAAGUCGAACGGUAACAGGCCGCAAGGUGCUGACGAGUGGCGAACGGGUGAGUAAUGCAUCGGAACGUGCCCAGUCGUGGGGGAUAACGCAGCGAAAGCUGUGCUAAUACCGCAUACGAUCUGUGGAUGAAAGCGGGGGACCUUCGGGCCUCGCGCGAUUGGAGCGGCCGAUGUCAGAUUAGGUAGUUGGUGGGGUAAAGGCUCACCAAGCCAACGAUCUGUAGCUGGUCUGAGAGGACGACCAGCCACACUGGGACUGAGACACGGCCCAGACUCCUACGGGAGGCAGCAGUGGGGAAUUUUGGACAAUGGGCGCAAGCCUGAUCCAGCAAUGCCGCGUGCAGGAAGAAGGCCUUCGGGUUGUAAACUGCUUUUGUACGGAGCGAAAAGGCUCCCUCUAAUACAGGGGGCUCAUGACGGUACCUUAAGAAUAAGCACCGGCUAACUACGUGCCAGCCGCCGCAGUAAGAC
rnacentral:rRNA from 1 species